UGUGUUUUCAUCCUUAAAAGAAAGAAAAAAAACCCCUCUCUGCUUUUGAUGCUAUUUUAUCUCAAUUGGAAGGGAUCCGAAAUGAUCCCAACUGUCAUGUGAGCACUCAGUUAGGCUUAGAUCCUCUUUGAUUGCUGCUGAACAUCUCUCUCCGUUGGCUCAUACCUUUCCUUAUAUGAAUAGAGCAUACAGCACUUCAGGUUGUUUACUGAACAGCACUUUAACUCUUCCUCUGUGAAUGCCCUCACAAUUAUAUCUUUAAGAAAAUUUGUGCUGUGGCCACCUUUGCCUGAGGAGAUAUUAAUGCGUCCUCAUUGCUGAUGUGAAGGAACUUCUGAAAUACCAAUAAGAAAUAUUUCUUUCAUGAAGCUUAAUUCUCUCUCCUUUUUUUCAGGCCCACUCUUUUCUCCAGUCUUGGUAUGUGGAUUUCUCUCUCUCCAAGUAAUUCCUUAGCAUACCCUUGAAUGGCAUCUACCACACGAGAUAACUUUUUGAACCCACAAGACUGAAACAACUUCCCUUAACUGAAAUGACCCCAGCAGAGCUAUUCACUAGAAGACAUCCUCCUUGAUUUCUUGGGGGGCCCAUAAGAUGACUGAAGUUGUAGAACAGCAAAGACUUGGAACAGACAUCGAGGUCCUAUUGCUCCUGUCGGAAACUUCUGUUGACUGCAGCAUGAGUUGGAUGGGACCCAGAGAAACCAAAUACAGACAAGUAAUGAUGAGUUGGCCAUACAAGCAAGGAAAAUCACAGAUAACAGGAAUGUUUCGGCUACCUGCAGCCUCAUGCGAUGAUGCUUAAUGAACUCAGCUAGCUCGAUCUUCUGUGCACCAGCAGGGACUUCUUUAAAUGGGUAAACUGUAUAGAACGUUGUUUUCAAGUUUAACGUACUUGGAAUUAACCUUGUAAAAUAAUGGCAUCUCUAAAGACAGAUUAUAUACAUAGCACAGACAUGUAUGUGUGCAUUUAUAUGUGCAUGUCUGUGUAUACGUGUGUAUAUAUACGUAAGUGCACACAUAUGUAUAGAAAUGCUGAUGUUAUUCAUUUUUGAAUAACAUCAAAAAUGUUUUUUUGAAACCUUAAAAGCUAGUAUUAACAUGAAUGUGCUGUUAAAUUUGGCAGUGUUAUACAUUUUUGUUGGAGUUUACUUCUGUAAGAUAAAAUCAUAAAGAUAAGCUGUGAAACUCGUGCAGCUGAUGACAUAAUUCUAGAAUCUCGUGAUGCUGAAUCUCAUAUUUCUAUGAGUGUGGGAUGGAUGUUCCUCGCUGAAAUAAUUAUCCUGCCUAUUGCAGUGUAUGUUUCCUUGUUUUAUGUGGGCACUGAGAUGUCCAAACUAUUAAACAUAUAUGGUACAAUGAGUCCUGUGUUUCUUAUUUAUUCUAAAGAAGGCAAUUA
rnacentral:lncRNA from 1 species